AUACGGAGGGUGCGAGCGUUAAUCGGAAUUACUGGGCGUAAAGGGCGCGUAGGCGGCUAAUUAAGUCAAAUGUGAAAUCCCCGAGCUUAACUUGGGAAUUGCAUUCGAUACUGGUUAGCUAGAGUGUGGGAGAGGAUGGUAGAAUUCCAGGUGUAGCGGUGAAAUGCGUAGAGAUCUGGAGGAAUACCGAUGGCGAAGGCAGCCAUCUGGCCUAACACUGACGCUGAGGUGCGAAAGCAUGGGGAGCAAACAGGAUUAGAAACCCCGGUAGUCC
rnacentral:rRNA from 1 species